AAAGAGCCUGGGAUCAAGGCCACGCCACGUUUCCGCGUGUGCGGUCCGCAGCCUCUUCACAGUCGAAUAACGAUCUGAGCGAAGGUGCAGGCUCCAGAGAAGCUGCAGAAGCGAAAAAAAGCAAAAAGUCUUUUCACUGCAUGUUUGGGGCUCAAACCUGCUUCCUGACAAUCCUCUCAUAAAGUCAUUCCCAAACCCGACUGCAUCCGAUCACCUGACGCGGCUGACCUUAGGGACCGAGAUGGUAGCGGCUGGUUCCAGGCAGCAAGAUGGAGGAAGGGACAAGGAAGAGAGCAAAGCUACUCACCUGACACUGGACACUUCUGCUCACAUCCUGUUGGCCAGAACUUAGUCACAGGACCUGACCUAAACUACAAAGAAGCCUUGAAAAUUAGUCUUUUCUUUCCGGGUGAAAAUGUUCAGCCCCAGCUGCAAAUUCUAUUAUGUGGAAAAAAGAGAGACAGGAUCUUGAGGAACAACUAGAAGUUUCUACCAACACAAAAUCGUCUUUCUGGAUUUAGCCUAAAGGUUCAUGUGGAUAAAGAAAAGAUCCAUUUAUUCAUUCAUUCAAUGACUCACUUAGUUGUUUAACUCAACAGAUAUUUAUUGAGUACCUACUAUGUGCUAGGCACUGUUCUGUGGGCUGAGCUAUACUCGUGAGUUAAACAGGGUUCCCUGCCCUCAUGAAGCCUAUUACAUCCUAGCAGGGAAGAAAGACAACAAGUAAUAAAGAUAAGGAAUUAAAGGACACAGUAUAUUAGAAGAGGUAAAUUAUUAUAGCAGAAAGGAAAACUGAGACGGGAGCGUGGAAGUGAGCGGGGGUUGCGAUUUCACAUGGGUGCUCAGGGGUUGGCCUCAUCGUGAAGGUGAUGUUUGUGAAGAGACUUGAAGUAGGUGAAUAAGCGAGCCUCGCAGACAUCCAGGGAAACAGGCUCC
rnacentral:lncRNA from 1 species